AAGCAAACUUUCCAAAUGGAGAAAUCAGAAUCUCUUUCCCUGUGAUAUGCUUUCCCUGAGUGGUACCACAGUUGCUUCCAGAGGCACUGCACACCUCUCCGGAGAACAGCAUGGAGUCAAGCUUAUCCUGUGAGGUCCUUUCCAACCCCACCAUCUGCAGGGCAGAGGGCAGGACUGCAGCAGAGAACUCUGAUGGGGUUUCUAAGCAAUUUGUGUUGUCUCCAAUAAUGCAGUUUCAGAAGUGUUAAUAUUGUGCUUACCCAAGCUCAAACAUUCUAGGAUUUCAAACAGACGGUAAUUAAGCUGCCCUGAGUGUUGUGUGGCCCUGCUAGACAUGGUAGGGUACUUCUGAUGACCUUUUGUAGCUGGCUUAGCCUUGAUCUUUCCAUUCAUCAAUAACUCCACUGUGAGACAGGCUUCUUGGGGAGGGGUUGGUGGAAGAGAGACCUGGUUAAGCUAAAUAUCUGUCUGCUCCCAGUUACUCAUACAUGACAAAAUAGUUUUAUUUAAGCUGCUUGAUGGAAAUCAAAUUGUCACACUCGGUGUGUGCAUGCAUACCACACUCCUAGGUAUUCAUAUAGCUAUUGUCUUUCUGCCAGCUGCCUUCCCCCAGAGUUUUAGGUCACCCUCAGAUCUUAAGUCCAUCAGCAGUUUGCUUUUGUUUUUAUUUUUUGCUAACAGCUCUUUGGCUCUUCACAGAAGCUUUGACUGCAGAGGAGACUGGCUGGGAAGGAGUGGGGCUGCGGGGCAGCGAGAUGCUGCAGAGAGAAGAAACCAGCCGGGCACCUGCUGCCGUCUUUUGGGGGAGCUGAAAAGAGAGGCACACGCAAGUGGUGAACGGAAACAAAGCCCGGAGGUUGGCUCUUUCUCAGCCAUGCUGGAGCCCAUCCAGGACAGCAAUUCCUUUCCUCGCCACUACUUCACUGCUGCAGGAAUGCAGCAAAUGCUGCAGAAUUGCAAAUGGGCGGAUCCCUGGAUUCCUUCAGUAGAGCUGUCAAGCUCCUGCAGGAUUUGUAACGUUAGUGGUUGGUAA
rnacentral:lncRNA from 1 species